GGGGUUACACGUCACUGGUUCUUGAAUUGAUAUUAUGACCAGUGGUUUUCAGUCUAUGACUAUUAAUUGUACAAACAUCAAUUUAAACUAAAGCUGUUAAUAGUAUUUUAAUAAUAUUUUAGUUAAUAGUGGGCCUGUUUGUUGCUGUAUUAUACACUUGAACAUGUAUUCAUUAUAAUACAUGUAGAAUUGAAAAGAAAAGCACAACGUUGCGUAGUAGCAAUUUAUAGGAAUAAUUGAUUAUGAUUAUUUGCAGUGCUGAGUUGUAUCCAGUGGAUAGUCUGCUACCCCUGUGUCUCUAAAAAGGUUGUGUCUGCAGGUCAUGGUAUCUUUAUUUUAGCUGUUUUCAAUCAAGGAGACUUUGUGGUGGAGUAUAGAGGGGAGCUCUUUGAUGCAGGUGAAGCUGAACAUAGACGUAAACUGUACCACAAUGCAUGUUCGAUCUUCAUGUUUGAUUUCAUAUGGAAGCGGAAGACAUGGUGGUAGGUUCAGAAUGACUAAUAUGUUUAGAUUUCUAUAGUGAGAAGUCAGGAUUUCUGAAGUAAAGAUCUCAUGUUGCUCUAACUUAUCAACUAUGCAUCGAACAACUAUACUUGUAUUGGAUGUUGGCAUUAGUGUAGUUGCUUACAAAUUAAAGUACAAUUCAAAAGUGUGUCACUAUAUAACUGUUUAGUGCAUGAUGUUUGUAAAUUUGCAGUAUUGAUGGAGCACUUGAAGAUGGGUCAUUUGGGCGACUGGGAAACGAUGAGCACAAGGCACCAAAUUGCAGAAUAAAGUUGAUUGAAGCAGGGUAGCCACAUCUCUGCCUUUUUGCACUGAAGGAAAUUACGGCAGGAACUGAAAUCACUUGACUAUGGUGGGAAAGAAUGGCCCUGGCAUAAAGAGAUUCCCCCUACUGUUACAAGCACUGCUGCUCAAGAGUCUAUUAAAGACCAUUUCCAAGACUAAACCAUGUCAUCCACAGUCUCUAUUGAAGGUCAGUGACUGUUUGACUUAAUUCCCCUUGAAUCAGACUAAAUUCCUGAAUUAUUUUGUACAUU
ensembl:lncRNA